CUCGUUAGCAGUCAGUGUGGAGAUUAGCUGUUUCUGUUUAGCAGUUUCUGCUGUUUUUAUUUGUAUAUACAAUGUGUCAAAUUAUUGUUCCUCAUGGAGGAAAGAGAAAAAAUACUUUUAACCUCACUAACUGGAUAAUACUGCUCGGGACAGUGCAUCGUUCAGCCCAUUCAAGUGGAUCUCCAGUCCGAGACGAUGCUCCACCACGAGAAGCACUGGAUUUGAUGUGGAUGAGAGGAAGGGGACUGGUGGCAGGGUUGGAGGGAGUCGGAGGCAGGCUCUGGGCGGCUGUGCCGGGGUGUCAGGCUG
rnacentral:lncRNA from 1 species